UGAGGAAUUUUGCGCAAUGGGGGAAACCCUGACGCAGCGACGCCGCGUGGAGGAUGAAGGCCUUCGGGUCGUAAACUCCUGUCAGAGGUGAAGAAUGCCCGCAAGGGUUUGACGGUAACCUCAGAGGAAGCCCCGGCUAACUACGUGCCAGCAGCCGCGGUAAUACGUAGGGGGCAAACGUUACUCGGAAUUACUGGGUGUAAAGGGUGCGUAGGCGGCUGGGAAAGUCAAGGAUGAAAUCCCGUGGCUCAACUGCGGAACGGUCCUUGAAACUACGCGGCUUGAGGAUAACCGAAGAGAACGGAAUUCCCGGUGGAGCGGUGAAAUGCGUAGAUAUCGGGAGGAACACCUGAGGCGAAAGCGGUUCUCUAGACUACUCCUGGCGCUGAGGCACGAAAGCUAGGGGAGCAAACGG
rnacentral:rRNA from 1 species